rnacentral:rRNA from 1 species
UACCAGCACCCCGAGUGGUCGGGACGAUUAUUGGGCCUAAAGCAUCCGUAGCCGGCCUUACAAGUCCUCCGUUAAAUCCAGCUGCUUAACAGAUGGGCUGCGGAGGAUACUAUAAGACUAGGAGGCAGGAGAGGCAAGCGGUACUCAGUGGGGUAGGGGGUAAAAAUCCGUUGAUCCAUUGAAGACCACCAGUGGCGAAGGCGG